AUGGCCUGUGGGUGCUGCAGCUGCCACAGGCAGGGGUGACCUGCGUCUGCAUGACCAGCAAGAGCCCAUGCUUCAGGGCUCAUGGAGCAGGGUGAUGCCAGGCAGAGCUGGGAGGUGCUGGAGCUGUUACAGCACUGUCGUGCCCACGCAUCAGCACUGGUGCAUGGCAGUGUUAGUGCCCACUGUGUCCCUGGGCUAGUUGCAGGCGAGCUGUGGACACAGCGUGGUUCCCUGUCCAUGCUCCAGCUGGCUCAGGUGGACAGGACAUGGAAGCCAGAGCAUUAGAAGACCCCCACCAAUCCCAGCCUUGGGGUUCUGCCAGGAGCUGUUGCUGGCCCAGCGCGAGCCUGACUGCACCUGGGAGAGCAGCUCCCACACCCUCUUGGCCAACCUCCUGUGGAGGGGCUACCCCAUGACUGUGCGGCAGUGGAAGGCCCCUGGAAAGCGGCCUGAUGUGCUGUUGGCUGCCCUUGAGCACUGCAAGGCUCCUCCUGGGGAGGUCCAGGCUCAGGACUGCCCCUGCCACCUCAGACCUCUACAGCUUCUGCAUCCUGGUCCAAGUCUUCACUGCUCAGUGCAUAACCCCAUACCCUACUCCACUGAGGCACCCCUCUCGUUUGGGUCUCUCAGUCAUGCUUUCUCACAGGAGGGCUGCCCUGGGCUGAGAUGAAAGCUAAACUGGAGGCAGGACUCGGCUCCUGAGGAGAGCUCCCUGACAGACGGGACCACACUGUGCCCUGUACUCCAGGGGUCUUCACCAGACACUGUACUAUGAGGUGACUCCCAGAGCCAAGACUACACCCAGGCCGGUGCCCCCUGUGAUGUCCCUAGGCUCCCCCCAAUCCCAGCAGGCACCCAGCCCUGAGCUAAUCAGAGGCCUCUCCUCCGGCCUGCAGAAGUGAGAAGUGGGCCCCGGCGGGAGUCCUCUGGGCACCUUCCUCCCUGCUGAGGAAUGAAUAAAAGACUGUUUGAAAGGACACUGCAUGGACCAAUGCUCACAGUGCGUCAUGAACUGAGGAUGAUGCUUUAUCUAACUCAUUGCACCUAAUGUCCAGAUGAAAAACAAAAAAAUCCAUGACCCCCAAAUUUGAAGUGUAACAUUUGGGAACCAGCUCAGGGCCCCAGCCCUUCCCAGCUUCCCACGGGCACAGGCAUGG